rnacentral:rRNA from 1 species
CUUNGUCAUUAGAGGAGUAAAAGUCGUACANGUUCCGUAGGUGAACCAUGCGAAGGGAUCAUUA